AGGGAUGGAGAAUGGUUUGGGGUGAGACUGGGUGUUGUGGGUAGGCAUAAGGGUGUGGUUUGGGUGUUGUUGGUAGUGGGGUGGGUUUGGGUGUGAUGUGGUGGGGGUGGUAUGUAUGUGUGUGUGUGUGUGUGUGUGUGUGUGUGUGUGUGUGUGUGUGGUUGUGUUUUGUUACAUCUUACUGUCUUGUCCAUUCUCUCUCUCUCUCUCUCUCGUUCUAUUUUUUCCUUAACCCGUCCGCUGCGAUUGGAACGAAUUUUGCCUUCACUGGUAGCCUGGUAACACACACUCCCAGGUCUUUCUCUGCCUCUGUGGUGGAUAGUGGAGUGUUUCCCAUGUGGUAUUGGUGUGCUGAAUUUGGCCUUCACUGGUAGCCUGAUAACAUACACUCCCAGGUCUUUCUCUGCCUCUGUGGUGGAUAGUGGAGUGUUUCCCAUGUGGUAUUGGUGUGCUGGAUUUGGCCUUCACUGGUAGCCUGGUAACAUACACUCCCAGGUCUUUCUCUGCCUCUGUGGUGGAUAGUGGAGUGUUUCCCAUGUGGUAUUGGUGUGCUGGAUUUUGCCUUCACUGGUAGCCUGGUAACAUACACUCCCAGGUCUUUCUCUGCCUCUGUGGUGGAUAGUGGAGUGUUUCCCAUGUGGUAUUGGUAUGCUGGAUUUUGCCUUCACUGGUAGCCUGGUAACACACACUCCCAGGUCUUUCUCUGCCUCUGCGGUGGACAGUGGAAUGUUUCCCAUGUGGUAUUGGUGUGCUGGAUAUCCCCUCCCAAGGUACAGGACUUUACAUUUUUCUUCAUUGAAUUGUAUCAGCCACUUUUUGAUCCAUUCCUGUAGCUUGGUGAGGUCUGACUGUAGGAAAUCCGCAGUCAAGUGGUUUCUCUAGUUCCACCUCCUCCUCAAUUCCUUAUUCCUGCUUCCGUCGGCAUUUUUCCCCCUCUCUCCCACUCUUUCUUCCCAUGCCUGUCUGUCUGUCUAACUAUCUGUCACUGUCCUUUUCUUUAUUCAUUUCUCUAUCCCUUCCAUUCUUGCCCUUUUUUCUGUGUCUAUAUGUCUGUUUCUCUUCAUUGAUUCUCUCUUCCUUUCAUAUCCAGAACUAAUUUAAUUUACAUUUCUCUCUGUCUGUUUUGCUCUUUCCUCUCCCUCUCACCCUCCUUCUUCCUCACCCUCUCACCCUAAUGUCCUUUUUUCACUCUCCCUCUCUGUCUCUCCUUCCCUCUCCCUCUCCCUCUCACCCUAAUACCCUCUUCUUCCUCUCCCUCUCUGUCUCUCCUUCCCUCCUUCCCUCUCCUUCUCCCUCUCACCCUAAUACCCUCUUCUUCCUCUCCCUCUCACCCCAGCGUCCUCUUCUCCUUCUC